AAGUCGUAACAAGGUUUCCGUAGGUGAACCUGCGGAAGGAUCAUUAUCGAGUUUGAAAGGGGUUGUAGCUGGCCUUUCACGAGGCAUGUGCACACCCCACUCAUCCACUCAACACCUGUGCACACUAUGUAGGCUUAGAUGAGUGUCGAGGCUUUGCUUCGGCAGGAGUCUGGCCUAUGUCUUUAUAAACUCUGUUCAGUAAACGAAUGUACCUGCGAUAAUCGCAUUUAAUACAACUUUCAGCAACGGAUCUCUUGGCUCUC
rnacentral:misc_RNA from 1 species